UACAGAGGGGGCAAGCGUUGUUCGGAAUUACUGGGCGUAAAGCGUGCGCAGGCGGUGAUGUAAGACAGUUGUGAAAUCCCCGGGCUCAACCUGGGAACUGCAUCUGUGACUGCAUUGCUGGAGUGCGGCAGAGGGGGAUGGAAUUCCGCGUGUAGCAGUGAAAUGCGUAGAUAUGCGGAGGAACACCGAUGGCGAAGGCAAUCCCCUGGGCCUGCACUGACGCUCAUGCACGAAAGCGUGGGGAGCAAACAGG
rnacentral:rRNA from 1 species